AGCAGCCGCGGUAAUUCCAGCUCCAAUAGCGUAUAUUAAAGUUGUUGCAGUUAAAAAGCUCGUAGUUGAAUUUCGGGGUUCUACCGUUGGUCGGGCUUUGUCUGUACUGGCGUGUAGAAUUUCUACCUUCUGGGGAACCAUCAUGUUAUUAAUUUAGCGUGGUGGGAAACCAGGACCUUUACCUUGAAAAAAUUAGAGUGUUCAAAGCAGGCUUAUGUCUGAAUACAUUAGCAUGGAAUAAUAGAAUAGGACGGUGGUCCUGUUCUGUUGGUUUCUGAAUCACCGUAAUGAUUAGUAGGGAUAGUUGGGGGCAUUAGUAUUCAAUUGUCAGAGGUGAAAUUCUUGGAUUUAU
rnacentral:rRNA from 1 species